rfam:Oryza glumipatula chromosome 10, whole genome shotgun sequence.
AAAAAGGCAAACCCUGGGUUUCCGUGUCCAACUUUGACUGUCCGUCUUAUAUGAAAUUUUUUUAUAAUUCGUAUUUUCAUUGUUGUUAGAUGAUAAAACAUGAUUAAUAUUUUAAGCAUGACUUGUCGUUUUAUUUUUUUUCAUAAUUUUUUCAAAUAAGACGGACGGUCAAACGUUGGGCACGGAAACCAGGGUUUGUCUUUUU